rnacentral:tRNA from 1 species
GGGCGAGUGGCGGAAUGGUAUACGCUCACGACUUAAAAUCGUGUGCCGUAAGGCAUGUGGGUUCGACUCCCACCUCGCCCA